UACGUAGGGGGCAAGCGUUGUCCGGAAUUAUUGGGCGUAAAGCGCGCGCAGGCGGCGAUUUAAGUCUUCUGUUUAAUGCAUGGGCUCAACCCGUGUUCGCAGGGGAAACUGGAUGGCUGGAGUGCAGGAGAGGAAAGUGGAAUUCCACGUGUAGCGGUGAAAUGCGUAGAGAUGUGGAGGAACACCAGUGGCGAAGGCGACUUUCUGGCCUGUAACUGACGCUGAGGCGCGAAAGCGUGGGGAGC
rnacentral:rRNA from 1 species